AGGAACGGCCCCACUCCACCAGCCGGCCCCGCGGGACGGUUACUCUGUUCCUGAGGUACCCCCCGAGGUGGGUGUAUGGGGACCUCCGCCUCCCUAGACUUCUAGGCCAGGGGCGAGGAUCACCUUAGAGGGUUUCCCCAGACGUCCCUGAUUUCACAUGUCCUGUCCUGCUGGCAGGCUGCGCCUUCUUUCUGCGCUUUGGGGAAUGGUGCCUUCACGCACUUUGUAAAGGGUCUGGAACUGAGCUGAAGAGAAGUGAUUGAGGGCUAUUGUGGAAAGUCUCCGCUAAUUCAGGUUUCUUCACCCACCAGAUUGUCUGUGGGGUCAGAAACAGCUCUGGAGGGGUCUGCAGAAAUUACUUUCCCAAGUCUUUGGGCUGGAAGGAACGAACAGUGCCUGACCAAGGACUUUGAGCAGGAGAGAGAUGGGAGCAGAGAGGAGCCAAGGUCUACUAUUUUCACUUCUGUCAAUUAGAUCAAAGCCCUGCCCAGAAGCUUUGAGCGCCGCUGUCAAGUCCCAUUCCUCCCCUAAACCAUCCAGGUUCCAUCUGCCUUGAAGCCAAAGGAUCUUCUUAGAUUCCUCAAGAAAAAUUCAGGCCCCGAGUUUCUCCACCAGCACUCUCCUCUCCCCGAAGGAGUGGGUGGGCUGCAUUUCUCUUCAUAUUCUAUUCCAUUCCAGACCGUCUUGGACUACCAGCCUGUCCGCCACCCCUCGGGGCCCUCCCUCCUACUCUGCCCUUGCCCGCUGAGGUCCCAAGCUGAGGAGAUGAGCCGAGCAGUAAAAAGAGAGGAGGUUUGGAAAAGCAAUGUCCUCUCAGUCUUUAAUAGGUGGCCCCCCUGGGAACCUGCUGGAAGUGGAAGUUAAUAAGCUGAAGGUGGUCACAACCAAUCUCUGCCACACUCGCACCCUACCCCACCCCAAAUCAUUCCUUUUAAUUAAUAGUGGAAGACCUUUUUAAAAAUGUAACAUGAAUUGGCUAUUUCUUGAGGCAAACAAAAGGUGGCUCUGAAGCGAUAUAUUUGUACUCGUAUAAAUUCAUUAAAAUAGAAAGCUUAUAACCAUCCAGGUUUCACUGACAGCCCCAGUCCAUCUACAUGCAGAAAUGGUCCCUCCAAAGCCCUCUACGACAAUUAUUCUCACAGAUCGUCAUGAUAAACUGUAAGGGAAUAUACUAAGAAAGAGGGAAGAAGAGAGGAGGAGUCCAUUUUUAAUUAGUGGUUGGAAAUAGAGUAAAAAUUAGAGGGCCUUAGGUUUAAAACACAGAUGUGCAUUGUGAUCGUCUGAAGGAAGAGCUGUUGACAGAGAAAACAAGGUGGUGAACUAUGCCCUUGGCCUGUGACAGUUAGGUGAGGGUUGCUCACCGCAGAAGACAGACCGGUAGAGCCCAGCAGGAAAGAGGGUAUCAGGCUGGAAGAAGUGCAGUUUGGCCCUGGCGGAGUGGUGGAGUGGCUGGAGCGACUGCAGGAGGAGGAUAGAUCUGGAAGCAGGUCUGGGCUAUACUUUGGCCUCAGCCAGGGAGCCAGAGAAGGAAGGCUUGGGUUCGAGGGGGGAAAUCAUUCUCCCAAAUUGCUUUCUCAGAAGCGCCAAUUCAGAUCACCUGAAGACAGGGUCUGGGCCCCAUUACAGCAUGGUUCCCAAAUGGGAGUGUGCUUGGAAGCCUUGGUGAUUAAAGGGUGCUGACUAAAAGAGUCAAACUCUGUAAAAUAUUUGAAGAGAUUUAUUCUGAGCCAAAUAUGAGUGACCAUGGCCCAUGACACAGCCCUCAGGAGACCCUGAGAACAUGUGUUCAAGGUGGUCGGGGUACAGCUUGGUUUUAUAUGUUUUAGGAAGGCAUGAGACUCAAUCAAAGACAUUUUAAAAAUACAUUGGUUUGGUUCAGAAAGGUGAGACAACUCAAAGUGGGGGCUUCCAGGCUAUAGGUAAAUUUAAACAUUUUCUGACUGACAAUUGGUUGGGUUUAUCUGGAGACCUGGGAUUAAUGGAAAGGAAGGUUCAUGUUAAGAUACAGAACUGUGGGGACCAAGUUUUAUUGUGCAGAGGAAUCUCUCAGAUAGCAGACUUCAGAGAGAGAGAGAGCAGGUUGUAAAAUGUUUCUUAUCGGACCUAAAAGGGUACCUGGCUCUUAGUUGAUUAUCUCCUGGAUCUGGGAAGGAAGGAAGGAAAACAAAGGGGAAAGGAAAUAUUUCCUAUAGAAUAUGGAUUUUUCCCACAAGAGACUUUGCAGGACAAUUUCGAGAUAUGGCAAGGAGAUUUAUUUUGGGGUAAAACAUUUUGAUUUUCUUCCUUGUUAUGCCACAGUCAGAUUGGAAAGUCAGUCAUGAUAUACAGGGUCAGAUAAAAUCCGUCUGAUGAGAAUGUAUGGUUGGUAGGGCAUGACUCCCCAGACCCCUUAGAUAGGAAUCUGGGCAAGAUAAAAAAUCGGAGCUUAGUCCUCAAGGGAAGGGGCAGCAGCGCUGUUGGCGGGCUCACCAAGCAUCAGUACUGGAUCACCAGGCUUGGGAGAGUAGGGGUGUCAAGGCCCCAAGAGCAGGGAGGGCCUUGGCCCCACUAGGGGGGCAUCAGAAAGCAGGGAGCACUUGUAGUUCACCAUGAUUCCCCUCAAAGCCCUGGGCCAGCCUCCUGCAGGGAAGGCGGGCAGGAAGUCUUCCCCAUAGGGGCAGGCUUGCUUUUUUGGCCAGCCAUCCUCUUCAUAUGAAAAACAGCAUCUUGUCAUUUCUAGAUGUUUCUACUUUGGUUGACUCUUUAAUUUUUCUGCAGUUAAAAGCCUUAAAACAGCAAGGAAGCAGGGGACAGGAGGGGAGCCCAGAUCUCUCCCAAAGAAAAGGAGAAAGACUGAAUCCUUGAGGCCUGCCGUACAAAGGAGUGGUGGGUUGGAGGAGGGUAGGCAGAGACUAGGGUGGUCUGGGACUUUAAGUACAAGGCCCCGUGGAUUUCAUUGGGGGGCAAGCCAUGUGCAACAGGGAAGCUCAGGAACCGGGGGGUUUCGCACAGAGGUCUGGUGCUGUGAGGUACAGGGAAAGAAUUAGUGGAUCUGGACCAGUGGAACAUUGGUUUAGUGUAAUCUCUGAUUUGUGUUGAGUGAAUUUGAGUAUAGUCCAACCACCACCCCCCUACCCCAACUAAACCAUGUGCCCCUCAGGAGCUGGGACUCUUCUAUUUUCUAUUCCUUAUAGCAGGCUCAGUGCCUGACACACUACGUUGAAUUUUAUUUUAAACAUUUCAUUUACAUUAAAUGGUAUAUUUGCAAGUUCAUUCUUCCAGACCUCAGUUUAUUCUUUUAUCUAGUCAUUUUAAAGGGAUUCUCUCAGACCCUCCACUAGCUAAGAGAACCGAACUUUUCUUCCAGAAUUGUCAGGAAAUGGGACUUACUGACUUAGUGAGCUACUUAUUUUAUCUAGAAUUAACUGUGUCUAAUAAAAUAUAUAUGCACUUUGGGAAUGGAUGAGGUGCUACACAAAUGAAAGAUGGUAUUAUUCAUCAUACAGUGUUUUUGAUUAUAAUAGAUUAUUCUCUGCCAAAACCCAGAAGGGCCAAGUCGAGGUAGGUUGCUGAAAGGGGAGGAAGUCUAAAUAGCAGAAUCAGACUUUUCCAUAAGUUUGCAGUGGCGUAUGGACAACACUCAGGCAACCAGCCCUCGGCACAGCAACAGGGGACCCACCUCCUAAGUUGGGGCUGAGUAAAGACAUAUUCCCGGGGCAAGGCUUUGCCAAGGCAGGCCUCUUCUGAAACAUAAGUCCCAUCUUUCUCCCGGCCCCGCCACCCCACCUCAGAUGUGCUGUCUAGAAGCUGCACAUCUGGGGCCGUUCAAACUCCUGGCUCGAAUCACUGGAAUCAUCUGAGCAGGAUAAUUUUACAUUAAUGAUUAAAAAUUGCUCUUCUAGAUAUAGCCUUGCCUCAGGGUAGCCAUUAAGAACAUUACUUCGUAAUUUAAGAAGCUCAAUGUAGGGCGCUUUGGGCAUUUGCAAAGAGGGAACUGUACUCAUAUCUUGAUAAAUUGCAAAAUGUCUCCCAC
ensembl:lncRNA LINC01016 long intergenic non-protein coding RNA 1016